rnacentral:lncRNA from 1 species
AAGGAGAUAACAUUGUUAACAGCUUGGCCACAUAAGGGUUAAAUAUCUGGCUGAUGUCCUGCUUGGCUUUCAUUUUCAACUAUGAUAUAGUCCAGUCAAACAGCAAUCAUGAAUUUAUUUGCUGCAUCAUUUGCUUUGUUUCUGGCAUUUUGUGAAAGUUUUAUCAUACCCGGAAAUGUGAGCCGCAUUGAAUACAAGGAAGAACUAGGGCGAAUAGUUGGAGGAGCUCAAACUGAUAUCACCCUUUACCCUUAUCAAAUAUCCCUGCAACUUUACUACAGACAUCGAUGUGGAGGAGCCAUUAUUUCUGACGAUGGGCUCUAACUGCGGCACAUUGCACCAGAUUAAAUAGAGUAACACGACCUCCAAUUCUUGCCUUCACUGUCCGACUUGGCUCUUCUUUUUUAAUGUCUGAAGGCUUAGUAACUGGACUUACCAGGAUUGUUGAUCAUCACAUAUAUGGCAAUUCAGUUAACUUACUUGACUAUGAUAUUUCGCUAAUUCAGCUAGCUCGGACACUUACCUUUACUAAUUCCAUUCAGCCAGUUGCCCUUCCAUCUGCAGACCAGGUAGAAGUACCAGGAGCACGAUGUGUAAU